rnacentral:tRNA from 2 species
GUGGGCGUAGCUCAGUCGGUGGAGCACCGGGUUGUGGCCCCGGAGGCCGCGGGUUCAAGUCCCGUCGCUCACCCCA